UACAGAGGUCUCAAGCGUUGUUCGGAUUCAUUGGGCGUAAAGGGUGCGUAGGUGGCUUGGUAAGUCGGAUGUGAAAUCCCGGGGCUCAACCCCGGAACUGCAUUCGAUACUGCCAGGCUGGAGUACUGGAGAGGAGAUUGGAAUUUACGGUGUAGCAGUGAAAUGCGUAGAUAUCGUAAGGAAGACCAGUGGCGAAGGCGGCGAUCUGGGUCGAUACUGACGCUGAGGUGCGAAAGCGUGGGGAGCAAACAGG
rnacentral:rRNA from 1 species